AGAGAGAGGAGAGGCAACGACCAAGAAGGAAAGAGCCUCUCCGGGGAAGUUUCUCGAAGAUGUCUUAGAUGGCUGGCCGUCUUAGACAUCAUCGGAAGCUUCACCCGAGUAACUCUUCCCGCAAGCAAGCUAGGAGUCCCGCUCGGAAGCUGCUAGUAUACACCCAACAACCAGUAGCUCAGGGUGAGGAGGACUUCCCGGGAGCUGGUAUAUAUAACUCGACGACGGCGACCUCGAAGGAAAGAGCCUCUCCGGCAGAGCUUCUCGAAGAUGUCUUAUAUGGCCGGCCGUCUUAGUCAUCUUCGAAAGCUCCGCCCGAGAACUCUUCCCGCAAGCAGAGAGAGAGGAGAGGCAACGACCAGGAAGUUUUCAGCAUAAGCAUUUAACGCAAUGGUUGGAUCAAUUUUCACUGUGAAGGGCGGAAUUUCAGCGAACUUAUUAUAAUCUUCUGACAUGUUUGUCUUGUCCUCGACUCCCACGAUGGUUCUUUUCCCUGAAAGAACUAUGUGACGCUUUGGGGAUGAGCUUGUUUCCUUAUGUUUUCUUUUCUUCGGUCUGGAGGACAUGUCCUUCAUAUAGAAAACCUGAGCCACAUCAUUGGCUAGGACGAAUGGUCCGUCUCUGUAACCCAGAUUGUUGAGAUCCACUGUUGUCAUUCCGUACAGCUGGUCUACCUUUACCUCUUUUCCAUCCAGCUUGAACCAUUUGCACCGAAACAAAGGGAUCUUAAAAGAAGGUCCAUAGUCAAGUUCCCAUAUCUCCUCUAUGUAACCAUAAUAUGUGUCCUUUUCCCCACUGUUAGUGUUUGUUGCAUCAAUGCGGACACCACUGUUUUGGUUGGUGCUCUUUUUAUCUUGGGCGAACAUGUAAAAGGUAUUUCCAUUUAUCUCGUACCCCUGGAAAGUCAGUACAGUCGAAGAUGGUGACCCAGCCAACAAGUACAACUGAUCUCCAAUAUCGUUGUUAUUAAUGAGAUGUGCUUGAAGCCAACCGCCGAAUGUCUGCAUAUGUUUAUGUGUAAUCCAGUCUUCAGACUGCCCCGGAUGUUGGGAGCAUACAAUAUUCUUGUGUUCAGUGAUA